rnacentral:rRNA from 1 species
GAGUGCGAUCAUACCAGUGUUAAUGCACUGGAUUCCAUCAGAACUCCAUAGUUAAGCGGGCUUGGGCUAGAGUAGUACUCGGAUGGGUGACCUCCCAGGAAAUCCUAGUGUUGCACCCU